GCCUAGGCCUCUUUUGGGUGCGGAACCGCCGGUCUCUUAGAAGUUACCUGUUUCCAAAGCCGGCUUCACGCACCCGCACGGGGUCGCUGUGGCCUCGGGCCCUGUCUCCUCCAAGACGCGCAUGGCUACUUUUCACUGAGUAAAAACGAUGUAUUGUCAGCAAGGAACCCCAAGUAAACCUUAUUUAAAGUCUAAUGGAUGGGGAGCCUCACACUGGAAUAGGGGUAUUGAACAACUACAUACUGUAUGAUUCAACUUAUAUGAAAUGUCCCAAACAGGCAAAUCUAUAGAGACAGAACACAGGUGUCUGUCCUGAGAACUCUCCUCAAUAAACCUGUGUGUGCUAAUUCUC